ACAAGUAAUCCUCCCGACCCUGGUCAUUAGUAAUUCAUAUUCAGCUAUCAAUUAAAAUGUUGUUUGCUCUUUGUUUUUUUCAGACUCCUGGAUCAGCUACCUCUAUUCACAGCCACAGUUCACUUCAUGGACAUGCACACAGAACUCCCAUAUCCUACAACACUCCUACAAGAACUCAGCGUCAGACUCCUAAUGCCUUCCAGUUCCCGUUUAUGAGUGGAUUAUCAUUACAGUCACCCAGGCACUGAUGAAGCUGGGAUAUUUUUGUCAGUUGAUGUUGACAGUUGACAUCAGCUUUGUUUUCUCAGUUAGUGAAAGAAAAACAUGUUUUUGCCCAGUAACAG